rnacentral:rRNA from 1 species
AUUGAACGCUGGCGGCAUGCCUUACACAUGCAAGUCGAACGGCAGCACGGGUGCUUGCACCUGGUGGCGAGUGGCGAACGGGUGAGUAAUACAUCGGAACGUACCUUAUCGUGGGGGAUAACGCAGCGAAAGUUGCGCUAAUACCGCAUACGCCCUGAGGGGGAAAGCGGGGGACCGUAAGGCCUCGCGCGAUUAGAGCGGCCGAUGUCUGAUUAGCUUGUUGGUGAGGUAAAAGCUCACCAAGGCGAUGAUCAGUUGCUGGUCUGAGAGGCCGGUCAGCCACACUGGGACUGUGCCACGGCCCAGGCUCCUACGGGAGGCAGCAGUGGGGAAUUUUGGACAAUGGGGGCAACCCUGAUCCAGUAAUGCCGCGUGAGUGAAGAAGGCCUUCGGGUUGUACAGCUCUUUUGUCAGGGAAGAUACAGCAGCUCUAACACAGUCUGCGAAUGACGGUACCUGAAGAAUAAGCACCGGCUAACUACGUGCCAGCCACCGCAGUAA